GGGCUCUUGGCACAGGGGUAGCGCGCACGCUUCGCAUUACCGUCUGAGCUUACCAGUAUUGCUUGCGUGAGGUCGUGGGUUCAAUUCCCACAGUGUCCA